rnacentral:lncRNA from 1 species
GUGUAGUGACGUUGUUCACCUAAAAAAACAUAAAACAAACAGAAAUAGUUUAGCCGAACUACGGAAACUCUGAUUCUCAUGUUCCGAUGAGAUACGUAGGCCCGAGAUGCGAUGUCUUGUCGAGUUUGACUGACGACUAACAUUUAAUCCUUGCUGGUUUUCGCCCUCGUUGCGAUUCUUUUCUCUCGCCCUCGUUGCGAUCGAGACCUUCCUUUUCUCUUGCCCUUGUUGCAAUCGAG